CUCAGUCAAAACAAUACAAUUUCAAAUAAAGAUUUCAUGUACGUUUAUGAUUAUUAUAAUUCUUUAAACACGAUUGUAUAAUUAAGAUUUAUUUAUUUUAUAAAUAUGGAAGGCAGUAUUUCUCCAAAUCUUCAAAAGUGGAUAAAAAAAUGUUUAAAAAGAGAAUUUGAAAAUAAUAUACAAAGAUCAUUAAAAGAAGAUACAGAUAAUGUUAAUAUAGCUCAAAGUAUUAUACGUUCAAAGGAAAUGUCCAUUUUAGUAAAUUCUAUGAAAACUACAAUUCUUGAACAAUCUUCGAGAUCUGAAUCAACUAUAAUUUCUGAUUCUCGACCUCAAUCAUCCUUUUCUUGCAUCAGUGAUCAAACAAGUGAAGAUUGGAAUUCUCCAUUAAAUAAUGAUGAAUAUUAUAAUGUUAUUCUUGAUAAAAUUAAUCAAGAUAAACCUAUUCAUGUUAGAUUAGCUGGUUACGAAAUUUUAUUAAAAAGUGAACUUUCAAAUUUAAAUAAUAAUCCUAUAUGGGAUUUGCUUCAAAAAGCUUUAUUAAAAGGUCUUGUAGAUGAAAGUAAACCUAUUUUUGAAGCUAGUUUACAAGUACAUGCAAAAUUGAUAACUUGUCUACAAUCAUAUGAUGUAUAUAUCAAUUUGUUAAAUGCUUUUGAUUUUCAAUAUGAUUCACAAAAGACGUUUGAGAUUUUACCUACUCUAAUUUCUGGAAUUAAUUUUAAAUUUUUUUUACAUGAAAGAGUAUUUCGUAUCAUACAUUUAAUAAUUCAUUAUCAUGAAGAAAAACUGAAAAGUAUAAGAAAUCCCGAUAAAACUAUAGAAGAAUUAAUAGAACAAUUUAUUACAUUUUUGAGUACACAUGUAUCUGGAAAUAUAAUGCAGCAAAAAACAUUAAAUAUAUUGAACAUUAUUUCUGUGUUAGAACCAUGUGCUGAUUGGAGUAAAAAAUGGAUUGUAAAUCUUGGUACUAGAAAAAUAUUUUUAACUGCUUUAGGAAAAUCACCAAAUUUAUUACAACAAGUAAUGCAUUAUGUACAAAAAGGAUUGGGAGAGCCUCCUCAUUCUAUAGCAAUUUCUAUUUAUGAUGAUCCAAUGGAAGUUAUUAUUAAUGGAAAUACAAUAGAAACAGUAACUUAUCUUCAUUGUCUAUGUUUUGUGUCUCAACUUUGUGCUUAUGAAGCAGGUCGUGAACUUUUAAUAGAAAAUAUUUUAAUCAUUCCAUUUUCAGUUUCUAAAUUUUUAAGUGCUUCUUUAAAAGCUCUAAAUAAACUAUCUGUAGAAACAGUAAGUGGUGUAUAUAAUGUUUCUUGUUUUGCUUUACAAUUUAUUUUAGAUAAGCCAACGAUAUUAUAUGAUUACGAAUUUUAUCAUAUUGCUUUGUGCCAUUUAUCAUCUUUUUCUGAAAAUAACAUUAAAAUAUGGCCACAUACAUUAAAAAUUAUUCUACAUAUGUUAGACACAAUAGAUGGUUCUUUAUUUCUUAUCUCAGAAUGCAAGGAACAUACAGUAAAUUUUGAAAAAAGUAUAUCAAAAUGUCCAGCUAUGUUUAUUAUAGUAAUAGCUUCAAAUAUGUUAAGACAACCUUUAUCUUUAAUAAAUAUGGAAUAUCUUUUUGAAUUAUUUGAUGUAAUACAAAAGUUAUUUGAUAUAUUUGAUGCAUAUGAAAUAAUACAAUAUAAAAUAGAAAAAGAAUUUUAUCCUGCUGUAUCAUAUUUUUAUAAGAAAUUAGAUAAAUCUUAUUUUGAAAAUGAAAAUAAAGCUCAACAAAUAAAGAGUGCAGUUAAUACAUUAUUGAUUAAAAUGGUAUCUAUUCCAUUUGGAUUGAAAGCUCUUGUUCAAGAAUCAUCAGUAUUUCAAGAAUUAAUUGAAGGAUCUAUUGCACCUUUAAGAAUGUCUUGGACAUCAAUUGAAGUAGUUAAUUUUGUAUCAUCUGCUGCUUUUUUUUCAUUUGGGAUAUGAUGUAAUUGCUAAUUUGGCACCCCAUGUUUUGUCUAACUUACUUUCAGAGACAUGUAAAAUAUUAGAAGAUCCACAUUAUUUUCAUGACCCAUGGGAUCAUGAAAAUAUUCAAAAAUUUUUACAUAUAUUAACUAUUUUUUCUCUUAAUUUUAAAUGUUUUUGCGCAUUUAUGUCAAAUGUAAAAGAAUCAUAUAAUAAUGAAGAACAUAAUUAUCCACUUAAUUUAUCACAAUUAUUUAAUGAUUUAGUAAAUCCUGAAUCAAAUUAUCAUUAUUUAGGACUUUUAUCAUUAAAUAUUGUAAUUUGGAAUUUAAAUAUUUGUUUAU